AAAAACAGCAAUUGGUGUAAAUUAGCUGUCGUCAUACUGAAGUCAGCUGAGUGCAGUAACUUGAGACUACACAGGAGUCAUGUAAAGCUACUGUACAGGAAGUUAGAAUCAUACCCUUUCUCAAGGACCUGGUAUACAAGGAGCAUAAAGAAGGUAUAAAAGGACUAUGAAAGAAGACUAGCUCAGGCAUCUGCAUUUCAUGAGCUGAAAAAAAGACUUGUGUCAUGCUCCCAAGGAAGUAAAAAGGGUCAUGAAACGAAGACAAAAGCUACUGAAAAGCUUUUUGAAACCAUGUCAUUAAAAGUAAACCGAAAUCAUUCAGAUCUGGAUAAAUG
rnacentral:lncRNA from 1 species